GUCUAUGGCCAUGCCACCCUGCACAAGCCUGAUCCUGUCUGAUCUCAGAAGCUAAGCAGGGUCGGGCCUGGUUAGUACUUGGAUGGGAGACCACCUAGAAAGACCAGGUGCCGUAGGCG
rnacentral:rRNA from 1 species